UACGUAGGGUCCGAGCGUUGUCCGGAAUUAUUGGGCGUAAAGGGCUCGUAGGCGGUUUGUCGCGUCGGGAGUGAAAACACGGGGCUUAACCCCGUGCCUGCUUCCGAUACGGGCAGACUAGAGGUAUGCAGGGGAGAACGGAAUUCCUGGUGUAGCGGUGAAAUGCGCAGAUAUCAGGAGGAACACCGGUGGCGAAGGCGGUUCUCUGGGCAUUACCUGACGCUGAGGAUCGAAAGUGUGGGGAGCGAACAGG
rnacentral:rRNA from 1 species